rnacentral:rRNA from 1 species
AGAGAGAGACAUGCGCGCAUAUCAAUAAGCGGAGGAAAAGAGACUAACAAGGAUUCCCUUAGUAACGGCGAGUGAAGCGGGAAGAGCUCAAAUUUGAAAUCUUCAAGGUUUUACCUUGACGAAUUGUAGUUUAAAGAAGUGUUUUCUGCUGAAGUUUUGGUAAAAGUUCUUUGGAAUAGGACAUCAUAGAGGGUGAGAAUCCCGUAUUUGACCAUUAUUUUCAGCUUUGUGAUACACUAUCAAAGAGUCGGAUUGUUUGGGAAUGCAGUCCAAAAUGGGUGGUAAAUUUCAUCUAAAGCUAAAUAUUGGCGAGAGACCGAUAGCGAACAAGUACCGUGAGGGAAAGAUGAAAAGAACUUUGAAAAGAGAGUUAAACAGUACGUGAAAUUGUCAAAAGGGAAGCGUUUGACACCAGUGUUGUUUUCUCGAAAAUCAAUUAAAAAUGGCUCGAUUUUGUAUUGCUUGAGACCUUAAAAGCUCACUGUACAUUUUUCGUGUCUUUUUUAAUGCACUUUUCGUUUAACAAGUCAACAUCAGUUUCUUUUGUUGUAAAAGGGUCAUUGGAAGGUGGCUUUCUUUUCGGAGAAAGUGUUUAUAGCCUUUGGCCUCUGCAAUCGGAGAGAUUGAGGUCUGCAGCGUAGAUCCUUCGGGGUUAGAUACAUUUGUGCUAAGUUAUAGCCUUUUCAUAGACAACUUGUUGACUAUAAUCAGUCAUGUAGCUUACUCGCUUAUGCUAUUUUACCUACGCUUAGGAUGUUGAAGUCAUCGUAUCGCGC